CCACACAGAGGUAAUUAUUGUUGGAAGCUCUUAUUGCAGGAUGUGAUUUGGGACUUGGGUUUUAAAAUCUGAAAAGAAACAGAACAGCAGUUGUCUUGGGCAGAGCAAUUUACCGAUGCAAUAUUUUUCUCAAUUAGACUCAGAUAAGUGUUCUCAAGUUGUUUGGGUUUUUUUUUUUUUGCAGGGAGGAGUGGUGUUUUAUUUUGUUUUAAUGCUUUUAAAAGCGUAUUACAACUGUUGGGAAAUUUUGCAGGAAGAGAUCAUUUCCAACCAGCUUUUGACAUCUGUGUGCCUCACUUACAGCUAGAUCACUUACCCAAUCAUGAGCGGCUUAAUCAGCUGUAUAUCUGCCUGUUAUUAAAACAGGACCACCAUGAAGGAAUGUCUACAAUGCUAUGACUUUGAAAGGAGUACAGUUCAGAAGGUAAAUCUCAGCAUUUUCGCUCAAGUCAUUCAUUCGCAGGGCAAACACUCCAGGAAAAUCAGAACUUCAGACAUCACUAGUGGUUGCAGGCUUGUUCAUCCUUAACUCUCCAGCUUCCAAAUCCAGAGCAGGAUCAUUUCCACCUAAAACUCCAACAUGAAGAAUCCAAAAUGACUUACUUGCUUCAUUCUAUAUCAUAAGAGUAUGAAUCUUCCAAGAUUAGGAUAUAUAUAUAUAUAUAUAUAUAUAUAUAUAUAUAUAUUAUUCCAAGAUUAGGAUAUAUAUAUAUAUAUAUAUAUAUAUAUGGAUUAUUUUACUAACUACACUUAUAAACAGUAAGAGGAGAACUGUGAGGGGUUUUUCUAUCCACUCUGUUCUCUGCAUUUAAGUUUCAGAGAAUUUAUCUUCAAUUCACUAAAUAACUUACUAGUCUUCUAUAAUGUCAUUUUUAGUACCUAAAGAGUCAACACAGGACUUGUAAUUAGCUUUUUUUUUUAAGACAUGACCUUCACCUGUAAAGUAAGUUGACCUCACAUCCCAACCCAUUAGAAAAGAUCUUGGCUCUUCCCAUCCCAGCCAACACAAUGACCGACAGCCCGCAACUUCUCCCCUUAAUUUGCUAGCUACUACACACACAUAAAAUUGCCUUUGUUCAGGCUCAGUCUUUCUGGGCCCAAGCCAAUCUUGAAUUUAAAUUUUUAAAAAGAAACUCUACUACAAUGAAGGAGCACUGUUGUGAAAUGAACUGUCUCUUCUAGAACACUAAUGGAUGCUUUUAAAACAACCUAGUCCCCAUUCCUGAAAGCGGGUGCUGAUCGACGUGGGCAGUGUAUGCCUGAGCUAUCGAGGUAAUUCAGAAUCACCAGGAGGACAGCUUCAAAAUUAAAAGCGAGGUGGGCGGGGCAUUAUUCUUUGACAAAUACACACACUGUCCCCACACAUACCACAACAACAGCCCAGUGAGAGAAUAUCACUUCUCCCCUACUAAGACUCACUUUAUGGAGGCAUCCAACCCAAAAUGCAGCAGGAGAGUAGAACCAAAUGUCCAGAUCCUGAGAGGAAUAACCUGCUGUCCCUUUAUGGGCCUGGUUAAUUCCACUGAAAGAGUGAUAGUUAUUUCUCCUUUAAUCUUUAGAUCAGCUGUCUAUUAUUGCUAAUGGUUUGUUUCCAAGUGUGGUUAUAAGCCAUAGCAUGCAAAGGAUUGUUUAUAAUUACACACUGUUGCUACCUUCAAAUUAGGUUCUUUUAAAUUAUACUGGGCAUUGGUGUGUGACUGACUCAGUUCGCUAUUAUACCAUAAUAAGCUCCUCCCUCGCCUCCCCCAUCUCUUUCUCUCCUCUCUCUCUCUCUCUCUCUCUCUCUCUCUCUCUCUCUCUCUCUCUCUCCCUCUCGCGCGCACACACACACACACACACACACACACACACGCGCGCGCGCGCUGUAAAGUAAAAUUAUUUUGAAGACUUUCCCCUCCUGGGAAUAAUUAUUGAGACUAAAGCAUUUCCUACAAAAUCCACAGAGGAAGUCGUGCCAUUAAGAACUAUUAGAAAUCUGUGUUUUGUAUACAGUCGAUAAGGAACUGACUUUUCAACACGUAUUGUUAAUAUAUUACUGUUCAGUUGCCUCCUUUCCCACAGUCUUAAGUGUGAGCGCUCUGAGAACCUUUGGUAAACUGCGGCUGAUUUCCCAGCUUCAAGGGGAUCAAACUCACAACUGCCUGCUUGCAAGGCAGGCGCUUAUGCCGCUGAGCUAAAUUCCCAGCUCUGGAUCCAACUAAGUAUUGACGCAGAAAUCACAUGGAACUCCGCGGAGAUCAUGAGAAAAAUCAAGAAAAGAACUGGAUUUGUAUUAAUAGACGCCGUUAGCAACUGAGAUGAAAAAAAUGAACAACAACAAAAAAGAAUCUAGAAAGCCCUGUGUUAGCCAAUUAGUUCACAAAUCACUGGAAAACAAACUCUUUGCUUGCUUGCUUUGCCUACCUGAUAAUUAAAAGGCGAAAUAGUAAGAAAAUGAGGCCAGAAGAAGCACUGAGCAGAGGUCUCAUCACACGCAAGUCAGACGUGCAAAUGGGAAUCUCAGGUGAGAAACAUUCAGAAGCAUUUGAAUUUGGUAUUCAUCAUAUAGCUCCGUGAACCCUCAUUGCUAAUAUUUAUAUUGUUUUUCCCUCUAAUGAUGUGCUACCAAUUCACCUCCUACAAGAGGUGGAACAAAUGCUCAGAUAAGAAAGUGUUUUAAAACAUGAGCUAUUAAACUUACAUGCCUCCACACCUUCCUUUUGAUAACCUAUCUUGAAGACUGUGAAAUAGAUCAACCACAUGUUGAAAUAAUAAACAAAUUUCUUUUAAAACCUUAUGUUGGGGUGGGGAUACAACUCAGUAGCACAGUGCCUGCCUGGCAACUACAAGGUCCUGAGUUUGAUUUCUGGUACAAAAAAAAAAAAAAAAAAGACACCUUAUGUCAAAUAUAAAAAUGAAUGUAGGAGUUGCAAUCAUUAGAGAUUCCAAAAGUAAAUGGGAAGUACAAGCAGCAAAUUUUUAAAAAAACAAAAAUUAACCUCCAUAAGCUAAUUAUAAGUCCUGUGUUGACUCUUUAGCCACUAAAAAUAACAUUAUAGAAGACUAUUAAGUUAUUUAGCCAGUUGAAAAUAAAUUCUCUGAAACUUAAAUGCAGUGACAGGUCAUGAAACACCACGAAACAUAGUAUCAUGGCAUCUUAGUGGAAGGUAGGUAUACAUCCAUAUAUUCCCUCUCUAACCCAUGGACUUGCAUUUCUACAGAAGCACAGGAAUAUACAGGUGAAUAAACAGGGCUAUGUGUAUGUGUGUGCUGAAAUAGAUAAAUCAUAACAAUUACAAUGGUUUUGUUUCCUAAGCUUCAUGUAUUGGUAUUUCAUCCUCUUAAUAGAAUAAUAAAAGAUUCUAUAAAAAUCA